AGUAAAAUGGCUGAGGUAUAGGCGAUAAAUUGUAAAUUUAUUUACGAAUAAGGAUUCUUUUACUA
rnacentral:tRNA from 1 species